AAACCAGCACCUCAAGUGGUCAGGAGGUUUAUUGGGCCUAAAGCAUCCGUAGCCUGAUCUAUAAGUUUCCGGUUAAAUCCACAUGCUCAACAUUUGGGCUGCCGGGAAUACUGCAUAGCUAGGGAGUGGGAGAGGUAGACGGUACUCCAUAGGAAGGGGAAAAAUCCUUUGAUCUAUGGAAGACCACCUGUGGCGAAGGCGGUCUACCAGAACACGUUCGACGGUGAGGGAUGAAAGCUGGGGGAGCAAACCGGAUUAGAAACCCGAGUAGUCC
rnacentral:rRNA from 1 species